rnacentral:rRNA from 1 species
AUACGGAAGGUCCGGGCGUUAUCCGGAUUUAUUGGGUUUAAAGGGAGCGCAGGCGGAGAUGCAAGCGUGACGUCAAAUUUCGGGGCUCAACCCCGUCUCGCGUCGCGAACUGCGUCCCUUGGCUGCGGGAAGGGGAGGCGGAACUCGUGGUGUAGCGGUGAAAUGCAUAGAUAUCACGAAGAACUCCGAUCGCGAAGGCAGCCUUCCGGCCCGUCAACGACGCUCAUGCUCGAAGGUGCGGGUAUCAAACAGGAUUAGAUACCCUGGUAGUCCGCACAGUAAACGAUGGACACCCGCGGUUUGGCCUGUAUGGCUGAGCCGCCAAGCGAAAGCGUUAAGUGUCCCACCUGGGGAGUACGCCGGCAACGGUGAAACUCAAAUGAAGUGACGGGG